rnacentral:misc_RNA from 1 species
GAUGAAGAACGCAGUGAAAUGCGAUAAGUAAUGUGAAUUGCAGAAUUCAGUGAAUCAUCGAAUCUUUGAACGCACAUUGCGCCCGCUGGUAUUCCGGCGGGCAUGCCUGUUCGAGCGUCAUUUCAACCCUCAAGCUCUCCGGAGUUUGGUGUUGGGGCGCCUGGGGCUUUUCGACCUCAGGGCCCUCAAGUCCAUCGGCGGGACCGCCAGGACACUGAGCGCAGUAGUAUUAUUUCGCUCGGUAGGAUCUUCCACGGCGGGUCGAUCUGGCCGCUAAACCCCCCAAUUCUCACCAAAGGUUGACCUCGGAUCAGGUAGGAAUACCCGCUGAACUUAAGCAUAUCAUAAGCGGAGGA